UACGUAGGUGGCAAGCGUUGUCCGGAAUUAUUGGGCGUAAAGAGCUCGUAGGCGGUUUGGCAAGUCGGGUGUGAAAUUUCGAGGCUCAACCUCGAAACGCCACUCGAUACUGCCAUGACUGGAGUCCGGUAGAGGAGUGCGGAAUUCCUGGUGUAGCGGUGAAAUGCGCAGAUAUCAGGAGGAACACCAACGGCGAAGGCAGCACUCUGGGCCGGUACUGACGCUGAGGAGCGAAAGCGUGGGGAGCAAACAGG
rnacentral:misc_RNA from 1 species